rnacentral:rRNA from 1 species
AGCGGGAUCGGCUCAAUGUGUGAAUCUGGCUUGGGGUAGUUCCCUGGUCCGAGUUGUGCACUAUGGACGUUUCGUCUGCGUUUGUAAUGGCGGUGGAAGUCCGUUGAAACACGGCACCUCAGAGGGUCACAGUCCUGUACCACCUGCCUGCACUCGCGCCAAUGACAAGCGCUCCUCGAGUCGCGUAGUUUUGUAAUGCUGCGCCAAGUGGGAGGUAGAGACCUUCUAAGGCUAAAUAUGAUGACGUGACCGAUAGCACACAAGUACCGCGAGGGAAAGGUGAAAAGCAACCAUGAAAAAUGGGUUGAAACAGUAGUGAAAGCGCUACCGGGAUAAGGGCUAUCGGGUGCUGGGGCUUCUCGGGUGUGCUUCAGUGCUACCCUUGGAGACGGCCCGCGUGGGUUGAUUGGGGCGAUAGACGCGCUGUAGGAAUUCGGCUGCCUUCGGGCAGUGUUGUAGCCUGCGGUUGCUGAUCCUCCUGCGA